rnacentral:lncRNA from 1 species
CUUGUAUAUCACAUCAGUGUCUUCACACUUCUUGAUUAAAAAGAUAAUCAAUCUAUAUGGCAUACAAUGACCUACAUUUGAUAAACAUCAUCAUCGUUUAAUGACGUAUCAUUUGAUCGUGAAUAUGUUUAAAAACUAUUUGAUAAAUUAUCUUUUAUCGAUUGUCAUAUAGUUCUAAAGACUUCAUCACAAUAUUAGAGUUCAAUCAAGAAAGAUGUAAUCUUGUGAUGAAUAUGUCAAAUAAUUUUUAUUAUUUCAUAAUUCAUAUAUAAAAAAUAAAGAGUACAAUCAUCCAAAUGAUUGACUUUAAGAUACAUUUUCUAACAGAUACCCAU